UUUAGUGGCGGACUGGUGAGUAACACGUAAGCAACCUGCCUGUUAGAGGGGAAUAACAACGAGAAAUCGUUGCUAAUACCGCAUAUGCCAUAAGGACCACAUGGUCCUAGUGGGAAAGGAGCAAUCCGCUAACAGAUGGGCUUGCGUCUGAUUAGAUAGUUGGUGGGGUAACGGCCUACCAAGUCGACGAUCAGUAGCCGGACUGAGAGGUUCAACGGCCACAUUGGGACUGAGAUACGGCCCAGACUCCUACGGGAGGCAGCAGUCGGGAAUAUUGCGCAAUGGAGGAAACUCUGACGCAGUGACGCCGCGUAUAGGAAGAAGGUUUUCGGAUUGUAAACUAUUGCCGAUAGGGAAGAUAAAAGACUGUACCUAUCAAGAAAGCUCCGGCUAACUACGUGCCAGCAGCCGCGGUAAUACGUAGGGAGCAAGCGUUAUCCGGAUUUAUUGGGUGUAAAGGGUGCGUAGACGGGAAAUUAAGUUAGUUGUGAAAUCCCUCGGCUCAACUGAGGAACUGCAACUAAAACUGAUUUUCUUGAGUGCAGGAGAGGAAAGUGGAAUUCCUAGUGUAGCGGUGAAAUGCGUAGAUAUUAGGAGGAACACCAGUGGCGAAGGCGACUUUCUGGACUGCAACUGACGUUGAGGCACGAAAGUGUGGGGAGCAAACAGGAUUAGAUACCCUGGUAGUCCACACUGUAAACGAUGGAUACUAGGUGUAGGAGGUAUUAAGCCUUCUGUGCCGUCGCAAACGCAGUAAGUAUCCCACCUGGGGAGUACGACCGCAAGGUUGAAACUCAAAGGAAUUGACGGGGGCCCGCACAAGCAGUGGAGUAUGUGGUUUAAUUCGAAGCAACGCGAAGAACCUUACCAGGGCUUGACAUAUACAGGAAUAACUAAGAGAUUAGUUAGCUCUUCGGAGUCUGUAUACAGGUGGUGCAUGGUUGUCGUCAGCUCGUGUCGUGAGAUGUUGGGUUAAGUCCCGCAACGAGCGCAACCCCUGUUUCUAGUUGCCAGCAUGUAAAGAUGGGAACUCUAGAGAGACUGCCGUUGAUAAAACGGAGGAAGGUGGGGACGACGUCAAAUCAUCAUGCCCUUUAUGUCCUGGGCUACACACGUACUACAAUGGCUAUAACAAAGGGAAGCGAAAGAGCGAUCUGAAGCGAAACUCAAAAAAGUAGUCACAGUUCGGAUUGUAGGCUGAAAUUCGCCUACAUGAAGCUGGAAUUGCUAGUAAUGGCAGGUCAGCAUACUGCCGUGAAUACGUUCCCGGGCCUUGCACACACCGCCCGUCA
rnacentral:rRNA from 1 species